rnacentral:rRNA from 1 species
GGGGGGGGGGGGGGGGGGGCGGGGGGGGGGGGGGGCGGGGGGCGGGGCGGGGUUCGGCCGGGCGGCGGGGGGCGGACGGGGGAGUGGUACAUCGGAACGUGCCCCGUAGGGGGGGGGGGCUCGGCGAGAGCCGGAGGAAUAGCGCAUACGACCGGGGGGUGAAAGCGGGGGAGCUUCGGACCCCGCGCGAUUGGAGCGGCCGAUGGCAGAUUAGCUAGUUGGUGGGGUAAAGGCCUACCAAGGCGACGAUCUGUAGCUGGUCUGAGAGGACGACCAGCCACACUGGGACUGAGACACGGCCCAGACUCCUACGGGAGGCAGCAGUGGGGAAUUUUGGACAAUGGGCGAAAGCCUGAUCCAGCAAUGCCGCGUGUGUGAUGAAGGCCUUCGGGUUGUAAAGCACUUUUGGCGGGAACGAAAAGGACUGUGCCAAUACCACGGUUCGAUGACGGUACCCGCAGAAUAAGCACCGGCUAACUACGUG